rnacentral:rRNA from 1 species
GUGAGGAAUAUUGGACAAUGGGCGCAAGCCUGAUCCAGCCAUGCCGCGUGCAGGAAGACGCAUCUAUGGUGUGUAAACUGCUUUUGUACGGGAAGAAACACUCCCUCGUGAGGGAGCUUGACGGUACCGUAAGAAUAAGGAUCGGCUAACUCCGUGCCAGCAGCCGCGGUAAUACGGAGGAUCCAAGCGUUAUCCGGAAUCAUUGGGUUUAAAGGGUACGUAGGCGGUUUAAUAAGUCAGUGGUGAAAGCCCAUCGCUCAACGAUGGAACGGCCAUUGAUACUGUUAGACUUGAAUUACAAGGAAGUAACUAGAAUAUGUAGUGUAGCGGUGAAAUGCUUAGAUAUUACAUGGAAUACCAAUUGCGAAGGCAGGUUACUACUUGUGGAUUGACGCUGAUGGACGAAAGCGUGGGGAGCGAACAGGAUUAGAUACCCGUGUAGUCC